rnacentral:lncRNA from 1 species
CUGUAUGUGGCUGGUCGUGUCAAACGUACUGCUUUAAAACUGCACUGUGUAUGUAUGUCACCUGCUUGUCUCCAUUACUUUAAACAGCUGAGAAGUAAAUUGUGCAUUUUAACCGACAGGCUUGGGUGGAGUUUGGCGGUGAGGAGGCUUGAUGGUGGUAGAAGAAAAUUCCGCAAGGUGCCUGAAGAAAAAAGCCUUCACCUGGGAUGGCGUUGGGGCUAGCCUAUUACUAAACGCCCUGCAGACUCAGUAACUUCCAGAGAAGUCUCCGCUGUGGCCCAGACCAAAGAAAAACAAGGGAGAAGAAACGCAAAAGAGCCAACAAAAGGAAGAGAGACAACAAAUCGAGGCCGACCUGAUGGAGUGGAAGAGUGAACCGGCCCUUGAGGUCGGAGGCCUAGGAUGCCCAGCGAGGGGGGCGUGGGGGGCGGGGGACUCGUCCUGAAGGGAGUUACCUUCAGCACAGCCCAGCUCCACCUGUGCCUGGACUUGAUUCCCCACCCCACCCCACUCCCCCCGCAGCACUUCCCCUAAGUGGCUCUAUCCCUUCUGCACAUGCUCUGUCUGCUCAUAGCUAGCAAUCUGGGAAAUGUUGCCUAGCCUUCAGAGGACAAAACCAGAAAGCGGGUUUGGUCUUUCGUGGCUGAGUCCUUGGCCCUUGCUGCUCCCAGGCAGCCCUCUCCCGAGCGCCCGAAUGACAGCCCCUGCACCCUCCACCCCACUUCGCACUCCUUGGCCUCCCAUUCGCAGGGCUGGGAUUUUCUGGCACAGCGGGACAAAGUCCGGGGGGCAGCCUGCGCUGCCGGAGACCAGCGGCAGGUGCGACCAGGUAAGCCCAGGUGUGCUCAGGGUCGCGCAGUCACGGCCUGCGGGGCGUGGGAGCAGAGCAGCUCGCAGGGGGAGGAGGACCAGCCUCGCUGCCGUCGUCUCUUGGUGGGCGAGUGUGUUUAUUCCAAGCGGAGCCUGGAAAGUGGGAGCUUGGAGCGUCUUCAGGGGGUCCAAACCUCGCGUGCCAAGCACAGAGGGGCUUGCUUGUUCUUUCCUGCACUGGCAGUUGGCCCAGCCCUCGAGUACUGAUAUGGAAUCCUGAACGUAAGAAAACUUGUUCUCGAAGGCUUGCUGGGUUAGCCAGAAGUGGACCAAGCCCUGAGAGGUAUUUAUUUAAGUUGCGGUGCGUUUCUGCCUUAGCUCGGGAGAUACUGGAAAGGAACUAAUGGAAGUUAAGGUAGAUGAAGGCAUUAAAAUGGUUAUUCCCCAAGCGGAGGCUACUUCCUAGUCUCCUGUUCAUCUUUUGAUUUAGGAGUAGGGAGAGGAGUAUGAGAAGCAAGAAAAACCAUGAUACCAACUCAGAAGUGCAGGGCGAGGAUGGAAGUGUCCAGAUUUAAUGACAGCGUACGGUUUCAUGCCAAGAUAGAGAAGACUCUGGGCUGGCCAGGAGGAAAUUGGCCCCUACUGUGGGUCACAGAUCGUCAUGAGUUAAGUUCCAGGUGCACAUGUCCCACAGCCCAGUCCACAUCUCCACUCAGAUAUCUUCCACUCAGAGGCAUUCCAAAUAUAGCAGGUCCAAAGUUCUUCCCAAAGCCCACCCCUGUCUCAAUCAGUGUCUGUUCUGUUUUCCCCAUUUCUCAGGCCAGAAACCAUAGUCUUAAUUAGCUCCUCUCUUUCUCUCAUGCUCCACAUUUAACCCAUUAGCAAUUUUCUAUGUUCUACCUUCCAGUUACACAGAGGGACACCUGGGUGGCUCCUUCGGUGAAGCAUCCAACUCUUGAUUUUGGCUCAGGUCAUUCUCAAGGUUGUGAGAUCGAGCCCCGUGUUGGGCUUUGUGCUGGGCAUGGAGCCUGCUUAAGAUCCUCUCUCUCCCUCUCCCUGUGCCACUCCCCACCCUUUCCCUCUCUAAAAAAAUAUAUAAAUAAAAAUACAUGGAGAAAUGAGCUACGUCUUACCAUCAGGCUGCUAUCACCCUAUAUCCGGCUGCCCUCAUGUCUUACUUACAUACAUUAUUGCAGAGGCCUUCCAGCUGGUCUCCUUGCCUCCAUCCUUGCUCCCCUCCUGUCUGCUCUUC